GCUCCCACUGCAGAGGCUGG
rnacentral:miRNA from 1 species